rnacentral:rRNA from 1 species
UGCAAGUCGAGCGGAUGAGGAGGAGCUUGCUCCUGNGAUUCAGCGGCGGACGGGUGAGUAAUGCCUAGGAAUCUGCCUGGUAGUGGGGGACAACGUUUCGAAAGGAACGCUAAUACCGCAUACGUCCUACGGGAGAAAGCAGGGGACCUUCGGGCCUUGCGCUAUCAGAUGAGCCUAGGUCGGAUUAGCUAGUUGGUGAGGUAAUGGCUCACCAAGGCGACGAUCCGUAACUGGUCUGAGAGGAUGAUCAGUCACACUGGAACUGAGACACGGUCCAGACUCCUACGGGAGGCAGCAGUGGGGAAUAUUGGACAAUGGGCGAAAGCCUGAUCCAGCCAUGCCGCGUGUGUGAAGAAGGUCUUCGGAUUGUAAAGCACUUUAAGUUGGGAGGAAGGGUUGUAGAUUAAUACUCUGCAGUUUUGACGUUACCGACAGAAUAAGCACCGGCUAACUCUGUGCCAGCAGCCGCGGUAAUACAGAGGGUGCAAGCGUUAAUCGGAAUUACUGGGCGUAAAGCGCGCGUAGGUGGUUCGUUAAGUUGGAUGUGAAAUCCCCGGGCUCAACCUGGGAACUGCAUCCAAAACUGGCGAGCUAGAGUAUGGUAGAGGGUGGUGGAAUUUCCUGUGUAGCGGUGAAAUGCGUAGAUAUAGGAAGGAACACCAGUGGCGAAGGCGACCACCUGGACUGAUACUGACACUGAGGUGCG